rnacentral:rRNA from 1 species
AGAGUUUGAUCAUGGCUCAGAUUGAACGCUGGCGGCAUGGCUAAAACAUGCAAGUCGAACGAGAACCCGCAAGGGGGAAAGUGGCGGAAGGGUGAGUAAAAGUAUCGAAUGUACCCCGAGGUGGGGGAUAGGCAUGGGAAACUGUGCGUAAUACCUCAUGAUCUCGAGAGAGCAAAGGCGCAAGCCGCCUUGGGAGCAGCGAUAUACCUAUCAGGUAGUUGGCGGGGUAAUAGCCCACCAAGCCGAAGACGGGUAGCCGGUAUGAGAGUACGGCCGGCCACAUCGGGACUGAGACACUGCCCGGACUCCUACGGGAGGCUGCAGUAACGAAUAUUCCGCAAUGCACGAAAGUGUGACGGAGCAAUGCCGCGUGCAGGAUGAAGCAACUUUGUUGUGUAAACUGCUGUCAGGAGCUACUAACUAUGAAGAGCUCCAGAGGAAGGACCGGCUAAACUCGUGCCAGCCGCCGCGGUAAUUC